rnacentral:tRNA from 1 species
GGGGAUAUNNAAAAUCCGUCGACUUUAAAAAUCGUGAGGGUUCAAGUCCCUCUAUCCCCA